rnacentral:rRNA from 1 species
AAUCAACGCUGGCGGCGUGCUUAACACAUGCAAGUCGAGCGGUAAGGCCCCUUCGGGGGUACACGAGCGGCGAACGGGUGAGUAACACGUGGGUGACCUGCCCUCAGCUCUGGGAUAAGCCUGGGAAACUGGGUCUAAUACCGGAUAUGACUCCAUGACGCAUGUCGUGGGGUGGAAAGCCUUGUGCGGCUGGGGAUGGGCCCGCGGCCUAUCAGCUUGUUGGUGGGGUGANGGCCUACCAAGGCGACGACGGGUAGCCGGCCUGAGAGGGCGACCGGCCACACUGGGACUGAGACACGGCCCAGACUCCUACGGGAGGCAGCAGUGGGGAAUCUUGCGCAAUGGGCGAAAGCCUGACGCAGCGACGCCGCGUGAGGGAUGACGGCC